rnacentral:tRNA from 2 species
GGGCCUAUAGUUAAGUGGCAUAACGCGACAUUCGCAUUGUCGUAUCGGCGGUCCGACUCCGCCUAGGUCCACAA